ACUAUGGCAUGUGAAAAGUAGCUUGAUUUGGGGUCACUGUUAUUCAGUGGAAAAUGUAACCUUGGGACAGAUAAUGCAGCCCACAUUUGAACUCUGAAAGACCAUUCACUGGAUUGAAAGACCGAUAGGUACCAAUAAUUGCUGUUUAUCCUUCAUCAAAAUUACCAUUAUUCCACAAGGUGGCCCUCCAGAGUUAGUGAACCGUGACCUCCACGUGGGAUUUGCACAUGCGAGCCCUGCAUCUGGAAUGCAGAAACACUCUUCAUAGAACUCUGAUGGCCCAGAAAUAUUCAUGGAAAUCUCUGUCGUGAUGAGAAAAUGCAGGCCACAAAACUUUCCCAACGCUCCCAAAGUCAUCCAGCAAGAAGUACCACAAUCAAAAUCUUCUUAUCCUUGCCAA